rnacentral:lncRNA from 1 species
CACGUACGUUGAGAGGAGCGCACGUACGUUGAGAGGAGCGCACGUACGUUGAGAGGAGCGCACCGGAGAAAGAACACACGAGCUGCGGGACAGUGAGAGGAACACACUGGUAGAAGAGCACACAGGCAGCUGGAUGUCGAGAGGAGCGGAAGAGCACAGCGACAGGCACUGGUGUCGACCAGCGGAACGACGUGGAGUUUGGCCUGGGAGGUCAGAGAAGAAUUUGGCUGCUGGGCAGCCCCACUAUAGGGGAAAACCACCUUCCCACUCCAUUCCCCUUCUGAUCUCCCCAUCCACCUCGCUGAGAGCUACCACAACUCAAUAAAAAACCUAGCACUCGAUCUCCAAGCCCACAUGUGAUCCAAUUUUUCCCGUGCACUAAAGCAAGAACCUGGGAUACAGAAAGCCGUCUGUCCUUGUGAUAAGGCAGAGGGUCUAAUUGAGCUGAUUAACACAAGCCACCUGCGGACAGCUAAGCUGAAAAAGCAUCCUGUAACACACGCCCACUGGGGCCUCAGGAGGUGUAAACAUUCACCCCGAGAGGCUGCAUGGGUCCGCGCCCAUGGUCCCCAUGACUUGCCUGUUUGCCUGCUCUGGCUAAGGGUCUUGACCAGUGGGGCACUGAAGAAGCGAGCCACACCUCCAUCGUACGCCCUGCGAGGAGGGGUCUCACUCAGUGACCCAGGCUGAAUGCAGUGGAACAAUCAUGGCUUACUGUAGCCUUGACCUUGAGGGCUUAAGCAAUCCUGCCACCUCAGCCUGCCUAGUACUGGGACUACAGGCUGGAGUGCAAUGACAUGAUCUCGGCUCACUGCAACCUCUGCCUCCUGGAUUUAAGCAAUUCUGCUGCCUCAGCCUCCCGAGUAGCUGGGAUUACAGGUAUGCACCACCAUGCCCGGCUAAUUUUGUAUUUU